rnacentral:rRNA from 1 species
GAUGAACGCUGGCGGCGUGCUUAACACAUGCAAGUCGAACGGAAAGGCCCAGGCUUGCUUGGGUGCUCGAGUGGCGAACGGGUGAGUAACACGUGGGUGAUCUGCCCUGCACUUUGGGAUAAGACUGGGAAACUGGGUCUAAUACCGGAUAGGACCUUCUGUUACUGUGGGUGGUGGAGAGUUUUUCGGUGUGGGAUGAGCUCGCGGCUUAUCAGCUUGUUGGUGGGGUAAUGGCUUACCAAGGCGUCGACGGGUAGCCGGCCUGAGAGGGUGUACGGCCACAUUGGGACUGAGAUACGGCCCAGACUCCUACGGGAGGCAGCAGUGGGGAAUAUUGCACAAUGGGCGGAAGCCUGAUGCAGCAACGCCGCGUGCGGGAUGACGGCCUUCGGGUUGUAAACCGCUUUCGCCUGUGACGAAGCGUGAGUGACGGUAAUGGGUAAAGAAGCACCGGCUAACUACGUG